rnacentral:rRNA from 1 species
CGCCUGUUUAUUAAAAACAUAGUUUUUUAAUUUAAUAAAAAAUGUAAUCUGCCCAUUGAUAAAAUUUAAAAGGCCGCAAUAAUUUAAUUGUGCUAAGGUAGCAUAAUCAUUAGAUUUUUAAUUAAGAUCUGGAAUGAAUGAUUAAAUGAAAUAAUAACUUUUUUAUUUUUAAAAAUUAAAAUUUAUAUUUAAGUUAAAAAGCUUAAUUAAUUAAAUUAGACGAGAAGACCCUAUAGAAUUUAAUUAAUUUUUUAUUAUUUAAAAUAAUGAUAAAAAUUAAUUUAAUUGGGGAGAUUUUAAAAUUUAAUAAACUUUUAUUAUAAAAAUCAAUAAUUUUUGUUUAAUUGAUCUUUUUUUAGUAAAAAAAAGAUUAAAUUACCUUAGGGAUAACAGCAUAAUUUUAAAAAAAAGUUCAUAUUUUUUUUAAUGUUUAUGAC